GUCGGGACGGAGCUUUGCCCAGGCGCGCAUUGGGCUUUAAGGACAUGCGCUAUCAUACCAGAGAAUGCAGGUUCCGAUCUAUACAGCCGAACUAUUUGUAUGAUGCAACGCCAUUUUGGUUGCACAUUUACUUAAUUGCUGUUUGUUAGAACCUAGAUAAGAAGGUACUUAACGUUGGUACAUCUUAUGUAAUUGCAGUAUUGUGAUUCAUCUAUAAUCCUUGUGAUGCUUUAACGGUAUCCAGUAAUUAUACCUUUCAGCAAAAAAUAUGGUUUAGAGCAACUCGUAUGAUUAGGUAUCAUACAGAAAAUGGAGUCUUACAAAGUCAUAAACAACGAUACCUUUAAUUGAGGAGGGAAGCAAGGUAAAGAAGAAUCGUUCUUUCAAUCUUAAUAAUGGAAGUAGGCACAGCAGGGUUAGAAGUACAUGGCAAUGGAAUUAAAAUUAUAGAGAAAAAUGAGGCAAGUAU